rnacentral:rRNA from 1 species
UACGUAGGGUCCGAGCGUUGUCCGGAAUUAUUGGGCGUAAAGGGCUCGUAGGCGGUUCGUCACGUCGGGAGUGAAAACUCGGGGCUUAACUCCGGGGCCUGCAGUGGGUACGGGCAGACUAGAGUGCGGUAGGGGAGACUGGAAUUCCUGGGUGUAGCGGUGAAAUGACGCAGAUAUCAGGAGGAACACCGGUGGCGAAGGCGGGUCUCUGGGCCGGUAACUGACGCUGAGGGGCGAAAGCG